GACGAACCGUGCGAACGUUGUUCGGAAUCACUGGGCUUAAAGGGCGCGUAGGCGGGCCAGCAAGUCAGGGGUGAAAGCCCACGGCUCAACCGUGGAAGUGCCUCUGAUACUGUUGGCCUCGAGGGAGGUAGGGGCGUGCGGAACUUCCAGUGGAGCGGUGAAAUGCGUAGAUAUCGGAAGGAACAUCGGUGGCGAAAGCGGCGCGCUGGACCUCUACUGACGCUGAGGCGCGAAAGCCAGGGGAGCAAACGGG
rnacentral:rRNA from 1 species